UUUAACAGAUGUUUCACUAUUAAAAUAUUUACUCCCCUCACCCCCCCAAACAGAAGACUCUCAAAGCAGCAACCCGAACGGAAAUCUUGAAGGUUUUCGAAGUGGGGCACCCCGAUUUCUCGAACCUGUGGUGUGGCGAGUACCCGUGUUCCGCUGGUUUAACUAGCCUGUUUGUGGAAACAACAUGAUUUAAGCCCCUCCGCUCCCUCCUUUCAAGAAGAGCUGGACCUGGAAGGCACUGUUAUCCAACGCUGACUUCCAUCCCUGAAGGGGAGAGACACCUGCACCCGAGGCUUCAUUCAGAUCUUUAUCACGUGGAACAAGGAUUAUCAAACAGUGAGGUCUUGGAUGCAAAGCCUACUUUUCAUGUGGAUUCAAGAAAGAGGGGUGUGACCAUUAGGUUCUAUGUGUCUUGUGUUAGUCAAGUAAAGAUGACGUCAGUAAUCAAAUUACAGAAUCUAAUCAAGUUUGGAUUAUAUCAUCUACUGCUACCUAAUGGAGCCAGCCAGCCAGUAAUACACUCUAGUCUCUGCACCCAAGAGACGGCCACUGGAAACUGAUCUUGGAGUCAUCCAUUUUCAGAUGAGACCUUAUGUGUCCAGAGCUGAUCUAGGACCAACUGAAGAUGUUAGUGUCAAUGGCUACAUUUAAUAUUACUGUACAACUUGAGGUUGUUUUUUUGA